rnacentral:rRNA from 1 species
UACGAAGGUCCCGAGCGUUGUUCGGAAUCACUGGGCGUAAAGGGCGCGUAGGCGGCGUGUUAAGUCAGCUGUGAAAUCUCCGAGCUUAACUCGGAACGGUCAGCUGAUACUGAUGUGCUAGAGUGCAGAAGGGGCAAUCGGAAUUCUUGGUGUAGCGGUGAAAUGCGUAGAUAUCAAGAGGAACACCUGAGGUGAAGACGGGUUGCUGGGCCGACACUGACGCUGAGUGCGCGAAAGCCAGGGGAGCAAACGGG